CUGCAAACAAGCUUCCAGGUGUUUGCUAACGUUGAGGUGUGCAGUCUUGGUCAAUCAUCAAUCCAGUAACACACUGCCCAGUUAAAGCACUGCUGAGCAGAACAGGAAGCAAAAAGCGUGUCCACAGGCUGCAUUUAGAGCGGCCCUGGCCUGGGUGAGGCAGCUUGCCUCUUAGAAGGAGGAGAGGCAGAGCUCAGUAGGAAACCCCAAGGACCUUCAAGCAGUAAGAGCUGAGACCUGGAAGGUUCUUCCACACUGAGAAGUCAAGACCUCUUCCAGAUGGUGUUUCGCCCUGUUGUCCAGGCUGGUCUCAAACUUUCUGGCCUCAAGUGAUCCACCUGCCUCAGUCUCCCCAAGUGCUGGAAUUACAGGUAUGAGCCACUGCACCUGGCCUAGAAUCUAGUUUGAUGUAGAAAAUUCAAAUUCAAAUUGUGCAUUCUUCACCAAGUGUGCUAAACUUGCAUCUGGGUGUGGGGCUGUGGUUACGGAUAUAGAAAACUUCAUUUAAUGAGAAUGAUAUUGACAUUUACACGACAACAACAACAAUACUGCAAUUUAUUGACUAUUUUCUAUGGCAAACACUGCAGAGUAUUUCUCAAAUGUUAUCACGCUCAUGCCCCCACCAAGUCUAUUGUUACCGCCCCCAUUUUAUAGAUGAGGAAGAGAUCAUAAGUAGUCGAGUAACCUGCUCAGGCUACACAGCUAUUAAGAGCUGGAGCUGGGAUUUGAACCUGGGCAAUUGUAACUUCAAAGUUGGUGUUUCUCCCUCCCUAAGCAUCGCCCCACCCCAUCUACCAUUUGUGCUGUGAUCUUCGCUGUCAUGGUGUCCCAUGUCUUUCACUGUUCCAGUUCAAGAAGCUUCUCCCCAUCGCCUCCUAUCCACUACAUCCUGACUUGCUAAUGACUCUUCUUGUCAGUACCAAGGGGAUGGUAAGGAGGAAGAGGGGGCUUGUGUCAAAGUGAGGUGCUCUCUAAGUUAAAAAAUUGGCUUUGGAGGCCUUGGGGGGAGGGAUGAAUGAACAUUUUAUCAACACAAAUGUCAUUGGCAAGCCCCAAAACAAACAGUGUCCCACCGGGCUUGCUCCUUUAUGAGGCAUUCAAUCAAUAAAAAGAGAGCAGAACUCUGUCAGAUUUAUUGGCUGGGUUCAAACCGAACACCUCUUCUACCCGCCAAAGGCUGGGUCACCAGCACUACCUCUCCUUUCCGACUCUGGACAGCCCUCAUUUUCCCCUAUGGGGCUACAAUGGUUCAUUGUUUGAGGCAGGCCUUGUGAGAAGUUGUGUUUGUUUUGCCUCUUAUCUUAUCAGCUCCAGAGCGACAAUGGCCCAGGUGUACUCACCAUUUUACCAUCAGGUGAGAGGAGAUUGUGGCCUGGGUCCAGGCUGGCUGGGGAGACUUGCUGUAAAACCGACUGGCUGGUCACCAUGGCGCUGUUGCCAUGGUGACUGAUUGUUGAGGAGGAAGUGAUCUCAUUGUUUCCCUGCUGGCUGUAGCGCACUCCUGCAAAACAACACAAACCCAGUAGGGAACAUUAGUGCCACCAGGGUCCUGGAACAAUGACUCGGCACCUCUUGUUUUCAAGGGUGGGUAAUAAGAAAAUAAAGUUGCUUUCUCCUCCCCUGUCCACCCACAAGAAAUAUCGGCUGCUUUUCUCCAGGGUAAAUAUGGCAUGUUCUCUAUUUAAUUCUAGAAUGUAAGCGCCACGAGGGCAGGAAAUUUUUAUCUCGUUUGUUUUGUUCACUGAUGUAUCCCCAGUGCCUUGGCACUGAAUAGCCACUCGGUAAACUUCUGAUGAAUAAAUGAAUGACUGGAUGGAUUCUGUUUGUUAUUGCUUCCGCACAGUUCUUUGAGGAUUUGGGGGUUGAGACUAGCCUUCUGUUACUGGCUGGAGUAUUUUUUAUUCUUUAAAAUGCCUUUUAGAAAUGUUUCCCUGGCAUCCCUCGUGGUGCUGCAAAGUAUAAGUAGACCCAUGUGACGAAGAAGAAGC
rnacentral:lncRNA from 10 species